CUCACCCCUGCAUCUUUCUCUUUGCUCGCCAGCGUUCGAAGUGAGAGGACGUGUGUAUCUCUAGUUGGUUAGUGUAGGAAAUGGCUGAUAAUCAAGAAUACGAGAUGAACAACGGUGACUUCUCGCAAGACGUUGGUGGUGAAGAAUACCAAGACGAUCAAAUGAACGGCGAAGGACAGAAUGGAACAGGAGAAAACAACGCCAGCACAGGACCAGGUCGAGAUGACGACAGGAAAUUGUUUGUCGGAGGUUUAAGCUGGGAAACAUCAGAAAAGGAACUCAGAGACCACUUUGGAACUUACGGAGAAAUUGAAAAUGUAAAUGUCAAGACAGACCCCAACACAGGAAGGUCGAGAGGUUUCGCCUUCAUUGUUUUCAAAGCUGCUGAAGCCAUCGACAAGGUUUUGGCUGCAUCAGACCACAUCAUAAACAACAAAAAAAUUGACCCCAAAAAAGCUAAAGCUAGGCAUGGAAAAAUCUUUGUUGGUGGUUUAUCGACAGAACUUUCUGAUGAUGACAUCAAGAACUACUUCUCCCAGUACGGAAAUAUUGUGGAAGUGGAAAUGCCAUAUGACAAGACAAAAAAUCAGAGGAAAGGAUUUUGUUUCAUCACAUUCGACUCUGAACAAGUUGUGUCAGAACUGUUGAAGACACCCAAACAGUCAAUCAAUGGCAAAGAGGUGGAUGUGAAGCGUGCCACACCUAAAGCUGAUGGUAUGGGAGGCAUGAGAGGUGGUCGAGGCGGCCGUGGAGGCAGGGGCCGAGGCAGAGGAGGAUAUGGAGGUGGUUAUGAUGGCUAUGGUGGUGGAUAUGGCGGCUACGGAAACUAUGGAGGAGGUUAUGGCGGAUAUGACUACUCUGGAUAUGGGGGCUAUGGUGGAUAUGGUGAUGGAUAUGGCGGGUAUGGACAGUCUUAUGAUCCUGGCUACGGUGCACCCGCUCCCAGAGGUGGCAGGGGAAAAGCAGCAGGGUACGGGGGCGGCAAGCAGCGUGGAGGUGGUAGGGGUCAACGCCACACGCCCUACUAGAUCCUCACCUCAUCUGCUCUCUACUUUACCUCAUUGUCAUUUUGUAUGUCUGGUAAAAGUACGUGUUGAUGAUACCGCCUUCAUUAUAAAAGCCACGUUGGAUCAUUCCAUUCUAUUCAGUGAUGUGGUUAAAGUCCUCAACAAAGUGACUGCACUUAAAGUGCUUGUGAUUAUAUUUGUGUAUUUAUAUUUUUAUGUACAAUUUAACAUUACUUGUUUGUAAUUUUUCUUUAGUUAAUAGUUUUGUGGAUGAAUAUU
rnacentral:misc_RNA from 1 species